rnacentral:rRNA from 1 species
AUUGAACGCUGGCGGCAGGCCUAACACAUGCAAGUCGAACGGCAGCGGGGAGUAGCUUGCUACUCUGCCGGCGAGUGGCGGACGGGUGAGUAAUGCCUGGGGAGCUGCCCAAUCGAGGGGGAUACCAGUUGGAAACGACUGCUAAUACCGCAUACGCCCUGAGGGGGAAAGGUGGGGAUCUUCGGACCUACCGCGAUUGGAUGCACCCAGGUGGGAUUAGCUAGUUGGUGAGGUAACGGCUCACCAAGGCGACGAUCUCUAGCUGGUCUGAGAGGAUGACCAGCCACACUGGAACUGAGACACGGUCCAGACUCCUACGGGAGGCAGCAGUGGGGAAUAUUGCACAAUGGGGGAAACCCUGAUGCAGCCAUGCCGCGUGUGUGAAGAAGGCCUCGGUUGUAAGCGACUUCUAGCGAGGAGG